GAGAAAACUCUUAAUAAUUUCUUUAUUAUUUUUUAUAGACAAUGUAAGUGAAGCAGCUGAUCACAUCUAUGCUAAUAUUGAACUGAAACCAAAGAAAGAAAUGAUGAAAAAGAAGACAUACAAGAAAGACAAUGAAAGUGAAGCAGGUGAUCACAUCUAUGCUAAUAUUGAACUGAUAUCUAAGAAAGAAAUGAAGAAAAAGAAGAGCGACAAGAAAGGAAAUACCAGUGAAUGUGGGAACAAAGUGUACUCUAAACUGAAGAAAGGAGGAGGUCAA